UGCCUGGCGUAGUGGUUUGAGUGCUGAACUAGGACUCUGGAGACCAGGGUUCGAAUUCCUGCUUAGCAA
rnacentral:tRNA from 1 species